UGUCAUGCAGAUGAGGAAAACUUGAGGCCACAAGGGGAAGUAGACCUGAGACUCACUAUUCUAGUGCUCUAUAUUUUGAUGUCUUUUCCUUCACAGUGCCUUUCACCUUUCCUUUCCCUGCUUAACCCCCAAUUCCUACAUUUGUCUAACACCAGGCACACCACAAUUCAUUCAUUUUGCUUUAUGAUGUCAGGCUUCCCUCCUAGUAAGCUAGGUAUUUCUGAAACAUGAUUACUGACUGAGAUUGGCCAUGCCUGGCCCUGUUAGCCUUUAUACCACAUAUGCUCCACAGUCCCAGACUGGGCUUCCAAGAGGGUAAUCUGAUUUGGGAAUUCUCUGCCCGAGCAUAUCUCAACAUGUUUCACUUUUAUUCCAGUUCUGGUGAAAAUGUGAUCCCAGCAUCUAUCAUCUAGAGUACCUCCUGAGUGGAAAAGGGAUUAAGCUUUGAACUAAUUGGUGAUGUGUAUAGCUAAACAGAUGACCAGCCCUGGAGCAGAGAAGCCACUUUCCCCAGCAUGUUGGCAGAGAUCUGAAAAAACAGAGCAAAAGGAAUGGAAUCUCUCAUGCAAUCAUUUUCCUGCCUUGGGCUUAUAUUGGAGCAACCUCCUUUUACAAGCUUCAAUGACUUUGGUUCACUGGGUCUUGGUUUUGAGGAAAUGAUGGCUGGAAUGAAUAUGGGGAAGUAUGGAAAGACAUAUAAUCUGAUGCAAAGUGAAAUAAACUGAACCAGAAAAAGUCUAUACGCA
rnacentral:lncRNA from 1 species